GGACUGAAACAUGUAUAGUUUUGUUAACCAGUGUCAGCCCAAUAACUUCAAUAAAAAGGAUAAAACAUGUGAGAGGGGAGGGGAACAGAUUACUUGAAGCAACAUGUUGAGUUUGCAGUUUUGACAGUUCUGGUGUGCUUCUGACAAUCGCAGAGAUUUCCUUUACUCUGCAAAGUUAGGGAGCACAUAUCCCUAGGUCCCCCCAAUGUUCUAGGUAUGCUCCCCCGGGGUCAGAGAAUCAACAGUGGGUGUGUAAUGUGCAUUGCAGCUAAUAGUGGAUGGGGGAGGGGACUAUAUAGGAAGAGGAAUAUGAAGCCUUGACAAACGAUGGUAUGCCAAUGAUUUAAUUAAAUCAUUAAUAAGGGAAUCUGCAGGGUUACAAGGCUAGUUUAAAAGAAGAUACGAGAACAAAGAUUUUGUGCACUCCGAGAACACAAAGGAAUGCUGAAGUACGAUUGCAAAGUCAGAUACAAAACUGGUUAAUGUCCUGCAGAGCAACAAAACAGUAACUUUAGGAUUAUUUUGUUCUACCAGAUAGAAUUCAUUUGCAUCUCUACUGAACAGAAAAGUCAUUUACAUUUUAACAGCUUUUACAAGUAUCAUCUAAUUUUACAGAGUUAUGCAUGUUUGGACUCCAUUUGAUAGUAAAUAGCAAGCAGAAGUUACCUUCCCCUAGGGAGCCAGAUGACCCCCAGAUGGGCUUGUUAGACGUUGCUUUAUUUUAAUAUUGAAAGAGUUUUUGUCCUCCACCCCAAGUUUUAAUAUUCUUCUUAACAGAGAGAAAAAUCACCCUUUUGCUUUAAUGGGUAUCAAAUAAGGGGGAACAAUAGUGAAUGCCCGUGACAUAACGCCCAAGCAGUGGGGCCCCAGGGCCCUCUGCCUGGCUUUGCAGCUGACGGGCAGUGUGACCCUAAAUCUGAUCUAACUGGAGCCCAGCGUCCUCAUCUAUAAAAUGGGGCUAUUGAACUGCACACUUGGCAAGACUUUGCCCUAAGGGCCAUUUUCAAAAUAAUAAUUCAAAAAUGCACCACACCCUUUUCAAAAAAGGAAGCGGGAAACAGCCACAGAAGCAAGUAUGUGAAACGCUCUGGGCUGGGAGAGGAUCGUUAUAAGUUGACAGGCGUUGCCACUUCAGUUGAGUGUGGGGCAGGAGGCUGGUGACAUCACACUUCUCUGUUAAAAGUCAAUUACUCACUUCUCCCACCCGCGCUGGAGCCACGGCUGACAGCGGACCGAUGGGCAUCUCUCUGCAGGCCCAGCCCAGCGGCCCCUCCCUGCGGGCGGUGCCGGAAACCCAGCCAGCUCGGCCGAGAUCCGUCCUCCCCGCAGAGGGGGACCUGCCGCCUCCUGGGCUCAGCGCCAGAAUCUCCCUGGUUCACUGUAUCAAUGAGCCGCCCUUGUUUUGUUAAACACACACCGCAGUUUCAGGCAACACUUGCCAGUUGCCAUGGGCGUUUUCUGUUUUGACAGAAGCAGGGACACACGAACCCCUCGACUUUGAGUCGCAGGUUGUGGAGGUUGGUGUCUCCGCUGCUUUAUCCGGAAGAAUGGAGAUCUGCACCUGCCAUUCUCACUUUCCUUCUCAAGUCACCUGACCUUGGCUGAGUUCCAGGUGUUUUCGCUUAGGCUUGAGCCAAGGACACCCUUUUUCCCUGUUGGGUGAGGAGAGGUCAAAGCCACAUCCGCUUUUCCUCUCUGUAGUGGACUUCAAAUGGGACCAGACCCGCAACAGGCCAAGAAUGAACUCUCUGCAGUAACACCAUGCAGGCACCCCAAACAGGAGGAACUCCUUGCUGAAGGGCAGAGGCUCUCCCCACUUACAGGACAGAGGUGGACAACUGUGGUCAGCCUACUCCACGACAUCCCUGAACCUGAUCCGGGUCAAUCAUUAAGUUCCCAGUGCACUGCCCAGACCAAAAAUCUCUCCCUCCCUUUCCGGGGAGAAACAUUUUUUUUCUUUUUAAAUUUCAAAAUCAUGAAGUAAGGGCCUUGAAAAUUAAUUUGCAAAUUUCUUUGCCUCUGGGGAAGGCAAGUCCAUUCACAUCUGAAAUUUUCCCUCAGUGCCUUAGGUGAUGCACUGACUGAGCUACUGAGCUCUCACUAUG